rnacentral:tmRNA from 1 species
GGGGGCGAAAAGGGUUCGACGGGGACAGUUGAGGUCAAAGUUGCGUGCCGAGGUUCCUACUUCCUCGUAAAACAGGUAGGGUUCAACGAUAGUCGCCGACAACUACGACUACGCCCUGGCCGCUUAAGGCCACGUCCCUCUGGUCAGGCCCGCAGGGCCGGAAGGGGCGUCGAUCAGCGGGCUGGCCAAAUCCUUCCCGCCUGAGGGGGAGGAGGCGAGACUAAAUCAGGCUGGCCCCUUGGGAAUCCUUCUCCCGGGAGUCUCAAGGGACGAGAACAAAACGGGAGAUACGCACGUAGACGCUUUGGCUGAAGGUUUCCGGACGGGGGUUCGAUUCCCCCCGCCUCCACCA